GGAGAGGUGACUGAGAGGCCGAAAGUACCUCACUGCUAACGAGGCAAGGCUUAACCGCCUUCGAGGGUUCGAAUCCCUCCUUCUCCG
rfam:Parcubacteria (Moranbacteria) bacterium GW2011_GWE2_36_40 TS16_C0055, whole genome shotgun sequence.